AUGUGCAAAGCUGUAGGUUCCAACUUCAUCAAAGAAGAAAGGGGGAGGGAGAAGGGGCAGGAGAUGGGAAAGGUGGAGGAAGAGAGAGGAGGAAGAGGAGAUGGCAUCCACGUUAUCCAUGAACUGUCUCCCUCAGUGUGUUGCCCUUGCUCUUCUUUCUCUGAAAUACUCACGGCUUGUUCUUUUUACACACACACACACACACACACACACACACACACACACACACACACACACACACACACACACACACACACACACACACACACACACACACACACUACACACACACACACACACACACACACACACACACACACACACACACACACACACACACACACACACACACACACACACACACACACACACACACACACACACACACACACACACACACAACACACACACACACACACCACACACACACACACACACACACACACACACACUCACACACACACACACACACACACACACACACACACACACACACACACACACACACACACACACACACACACACACACACAGACACACACACACACACACACACACACACACACACACACACACACACACACACACACACACACACACUCACACACACACACACACACACACACACACAGACACACACACACACACACACACACACACACACACACACACACACACACACACAACACACACACACACACACACACACAGACACACACACACACACACACACACACACACACACACACACACACACACACACACACACACACACACUCACACACACACACACACACUCACACACACACACACACACACACACACACACACACACACACACACUCACACACACACACACACUCACACACACACACUCACACACACACACUCACACACACACACACACACACACACACACACACUCACACACACACACUCACACACACACACACACACACUCACACACACACACACACACACACACACUCACACACACACACACUCACACACACACAGACACACACACACACACACACACACACACACACUCACACACACACUCACACACACACACACACUCACACACACACACACACACACACACACACACUCACACACACACACACACACACACACACUCACACACACACACACUCACACACACACACACACACACACACUAUAUUCUUCUAUUUUUCUCCAUUACCAUCAUCACUACUUAGCAUAAUAUUAUAUUAUCUGGAACUUGUUUGCUAUAUCACCAGUUCCCUGGGCAAUGGAUUUUAUUUUGUUAUUUAUAGUAGUUAUGUUCUGCGUAUGACUGCACACACACAUACAGAGAGAGACAGAGAAUACGAGUGGGAGAAUGGUGGUCCCACAUGGCACUAA
rnacentral:lncRNA from 1 species